ACGGGAGGCAGCAGUGGGGAAUAUUGUACAAUGGAGGAAACUCUGAUACAGCAACGCCGCGUGAGUGAUGAAGGUUUUAGGAUUGUAAAGCUCUGUCUUUGGGGACGAAGAAAAUGACGGUACCCAAGGAGGAAGCCCCGGCUAACUACGUGCCAGCAGCCGCGGUAAUACGUAGGGGGCAAGCGUUGUCCGGAAUUACUGGGCGUAAAGGGCACGCAGGCGGUCCGGUCAGUCAGGAGUGAAAGUUUGCAGCUUAACUGUAAAAGUGCUUUUGAUACUGCCGGACUUGAGUCUCGGAGAGGUAAGCGGAAUUCCUAGUGUAGUAGUGAAAUGCGUAGAGAUUAGGAAGAACACCGGCGGCGAAGGCGGCUUACUGGACGAGUACUGACGCUCAGGUGCGAAAGCGUGGGGAGCAAACAGGAUUAGAUACCCUGGUA
rnacentral:rRNA from 1 species